rnacentral:rRNA from 1 species
AUUGAACGCUAGCGGCAUGCUUUACACAUGCAAGUCGCACGAGUGGCGGACGGGUGAGCAAUAUAUCGGAAAGUGCCUAGUCGCGGGGGAUAACUACUCGAAAGAGUGGCUCAUACCGCAUACCAGUGUAGCGGCCGAUAUCGGAUUAGCUAGUGGGGGGGGUAAAGGCUCACAAAGGCAACGAUCCGCAGCUGGUUUGAGAGGACGACCAGCCACACUGGGACUGAGACACGGCCCAGACUCCUACGGGAGGCAGCAGUAGGGAAUUGUGGACAAGGGGGGAAACCCUGAUCCAGCCAUGCCGCGUGUAGGAGAAGGCCUUCGGGUUGUAAAGUCCUUUUGGCAGAGAAGCGGUAUCUGAAGAGUAAGCACCGGCUAACUACGUGCCAGCCGCCGCGGUAAUAC